GAACAUUUCAAGAAAGUUUACGAACUUGUGUUGGGGUACAUUCAAAGCAGUCUGGGGCCGCAUGCAGCCCGCAGGCCACAGGCUGAACAAGCUCGCUCUGAAGUCUUUUAAACAACAGCUGGAAAAUUCUUGAACGAGCCCAGGGGAAAUCUCCAGGGUUUCAGGAAGCUGACGAUGCAAGCUUAUCCAAAUGGAAAACGUUUAACGCUGCGGGUUGGAGCAAAUGAUCAGGCAAACAAAAAAAGCCAUCGUGUUGCACUGGCUCAAAGAGACUUUGUUGAAAAGAAUUACACUAUUCUCAGUGAACGAUUAAUUUUACAGUGGGGAGGGGGAAUUCCAGAGAGUGCAGAGCAGAAAAAAGGAAUCUCAAACUCUCCAUUUGCAACCUCUGGAAAAAACAUUUUCUCACUGCCAAGGGAAAUACCACUCAGAAUACACUCCUUCAGAUGAGUGGAUUUACCCAGAAAACACAAGCAGAUUCUUUCUUUUCUUUUUUUCUUUUUUUUGAGACAGGGUCUUGCUUUGUCACCCAGGAUGGAGUACAGUGGUGGGAUCAUGGCUCACUCCAGCCUUGACCUCCAAGCAAUCCUUCUGCCUCAGCCUCCUAAGCAGCUGAGACGAUAGGUAACCUCAGGAAGAAAACUGGAGUCUUUGGACGAGAAGCAUUAAGUAAUCAGAAUGACCACUGACAUCAAUGGAGCGCUUUCAGUGUUCUGGGAGCUGUGCUAAAAGCUUUACAGCUACUCCCUCAUUUCUUCCCACUACAACCUAUUGAGGUAGGCACUGCUAUCCUCACUUUACAGAUGAGGAAACUGAGGCACAGAGAGGUUAAGUCACCUGGUCAAGGUUACACAGCUAGUGAAAGGAAGGCUGGGGUUUGAGUCCUGGCCUAAAUUCAAGACCCAGGUGCCCAAACACCAACAGUCAUGCUGUCUGCGGGUUGCUUCUGUCCUGGUCACAAUGGAUUAAUAAACUAACGAUGUAAGAAGCCCAAGCCAAGGCACUUCCAGCCUUUGGCUCAGGGGAAAUUCAAAAGCCAAAAGCUUGGCAAUCCCUUCCUUGGAUUAUGUUUAAUUCCAGGCCUCCCAAAGGCAAGAAGAAUGACCUUGAUGAUGCUUGAAGGUGGGUCCCCGAGACCUCCACAUGGGAGGAGCGCCGGCCGUAGCAGAUGCCACCAUAGAUACCUGCUGGUUCUGUAGUCCAGCUUCUCUUGUCCAUUGGGAGACUGGCCCUCCGCAAUCCUGCUGCUGCUUCUGGAGGGAAUGUCAAUCACAGGACCCUAGUUCCUCGCCAGUGUGGCCCACAGGAAUGAGCAUGUGACUCAAGCUGGGCCAAUCAGAGCCUUCCAUGAGAUUUGAGAUGGAAAAGCAUCCCUUAGAGAGUGUGAAUCCUGAAGUUAUAGGCUCCGGGCUGCUGGCAGCCAUCUUUCCCGCCAGAUGGAAGAAAGAAUGAGGUCAGCAUGCAAAGAGAUGCAGAGUCAAGAGGCCUGGGUGCAGUUGAGAGGCCUGAAGACAUUAAGCUCCUGGAUCCAGCCAUACCUGAAGCAGCAGCCACCUUCAGCCAUCCCCAAUACAGGACCCAGGGAAUUUGCUUUGUUGCUUAAGCCAGUUUGGGCUGGUUUUUCCCUAGGGAGAGAGCUCUCUCAAGGCAGAACUGAAAGGGCCUGAGGUUCCUCACCCCCACUGUUAAGGGUGGACAGCUGAUGGCACACACCCCCUGCCUCUGGAACAGGCAGCUCCAGCUUCCUCCAGUAAAAGUCUUCUGCGUCCUUCUCUGGGGCUACACAAUAAAUGUAUGAAGACUGCCAGGGCAGCUUAUCCCAGCAUACUUGUAGGAUAACAUCUAGUUUUUAAGAGAAAAGCUGGAAAUUCACUUAAAGACAGUUGAAAAUAUUGCAAGUUGCUCUCAGCAAUAAAUGCCCAGUGACAUGGGAGCCAUUAGUUUUGAGAACGUCUCCUUCCAAUCAGUCUGUCUCUUAUGCACACAUGUGCACACACACCUUGACGCAGGGUGCAAAGCAAUCUAUUUUGUUCAGAUACCUGAGAAGCAGACAGAGAGCCAACAGGAAGGUGGGCGAGGCUGUCUCCCAGCAGGAAGAAGGAUGUGUCUGAAAAGAUGACCGUUUCUCUCUGCCCUGGGUUUGGGGUUGAGGCUGGCAUGGAGAUAAGUCUCCUGGCCCUGCAUGCUGAGCCUGCAUAAAGAUGAUUCUUGUGGCCACAAAACCACCCCUUGGCUCAGUUACUCCGUCACAGAUGAGCCCCAACUCUAAGCAAGGCCAGGAGACAAGGGUACCAGCCACUGCUGACAGAGCCAUGUCAGUGAGGCUCCUGUCACGCAGGUCAUGAGGAUGUGUAAUGUGCGCUGGGUGCAAGUUAAUGGGGUAGGGACUAGAGUGGCCCGCUCCA
ensembl:lncRNA